rnacentral:RNase_P_RNA from 1 species
CCAGCUGGCCGGACGGCCGCGCGCGCAAGUGCCGAAAGGCCGCGCGUGAGGAAAGUCCGGGCUCCAUGGAACACGAUGCCGGAUAACGUCCGGCGGGGGAAACCCUAGGGAAAGUGCCACAGAAAGCAAACCGCCCCGCUUGCGGGGUAAGGGUGAAAGGGUGGGGUAAGAGCCCACCGCGCGACUGGCAACAGGAGCGGCACGGCAAACCCCAUCGGGAGCAAAACCGAAUAGGAACGACGCGAGGGUAACCUCAGGCAGUUCCAGCCCAGUCGUUCGGGUAGGUUGCUAGAGGUCGGCGGCAACGCCGAUCCCAGAGGAAUGGUCGUCACGUCACCGCUCGCGGUGGCCUUACAGAACCCGGCUUACAGGCCGGCUGGCAUU